rnacentral:lncRNA from 1 species
AGGAAAUUAAGAUAUUGUGUAUCUAGGAUACUUUUAGUGCACAUAACCUUCUUAUAAAUCGACUAGGGUUUCCUAAGUCAAGUAGGGUAUCCUAAGAAUACUAAGACACUUAGUGCCUAUAAAUACAGCAUGUAUUCCAUGAAAAUUCUCUCAUUGAUUAUUCUGUUAUCAAGUCUCUAUUCAGAACCAAGUCUGUAGAAACCAAGGUAAGUCUCUAUCUUGUUAGGGUUGAUUGUCC